AGAUUGCAAUGAUUGGCUGACUUUGGACUUGAAAGCUACGUCUGAUUCAUUCUUGGAUGGGAGAUCUUCAGAGUUUUAAGAUAGCUGUGAAAAUUCUAUAAAAUCCCAGAGGAAGGCAGGGUUAUUGGACAUAUAAAAUAUAAUGGAGAAUAAACUCCCUUGGUGUUUGAACGAAGACAGUGAUUGCCAUCAAUAUUUUAAGAAAUAAACACAGAUCCAUCCAGCUGUGCUUUUGGCUACCA